rnacentral:rRNA from 1 species
UUAAGCUACAAAGAGCGUAGGGUGAAUAGCUAGGCACCAAGAGCCGAAGAAGGACGUGAUAAGCUGCGAAAAGCUUUGGGUAGGAGCAAAUAUCCAUUAAUCCAGAGAUAUCCGAAUGAGGGAACUCACUUAGAGCAAACAAUCUAAGUAUCCAUAUAUGAGUAAAGUAGUAUAUGAGAAGGGAACGUGGGGAACUGAAACAUCUUAGUACCCACAGGAAAAGAAAGAGAAAUCGAUUCCUAGAGUAGUGGCGAGCGAAAUAGGAAGAGCCUAAACCAUGAGUAGUAAUACACAUGGGGUUCGGACCACGAUAUAUUAUCAAUAAUUCUAAUAGAAAUGUUUUGGAAAAGCAUACCAUAGACGGUGAAAGUCCAGUAUAUGAAAGGAAAGUUGAGAUUAGUGGUAUCCAGAGUAGUACGAGACACGAGAAAUCUCGUAUGAAUAAGCGGGGACCAUCCCGUAAGGCUAAAUACUACUUGGUGACCGAUAGUGAACUAGUACCGUGAGGGAAAGGUGAAAAGAACCCCGGGAGGGGAGUGAAAUAGAACAUGAAACCCUAUGUUUACAAGCAGACAAAGCACUUUAUAUGUGCGAUGUCGUACUUUUUGUAGAACGGUCCAGCGAGUUAUUGUGUAUGGCGAGGUUAAGUAUUACGUAAGGUACGGAGCCGAAGCGAAAGCGAGUCUGAAAAGGGCGAUAUAAGUCAUGCAUAAUAGACCCGAAACUGAGUGACCUAUCCAUGAGCAGGAUGAAGCUAGAGUAAAAUCUAGUGGAGGUCCGAACUGAUUGUCGUUAAAAAGGCACCGGAUGACUUGUGGAUAGCGGAGAAAUUCCAAUCGAACUCAGAGAUAGCUGGUUCUCCUCGAAAUAGCUUUAGGGCUAGCCUUGAGGGAAUGCAUAUGGGGGUAGAGCACUGAAUGAGGUAGGGGCCUAACCAGGUUACCAAACUCUAUCAAACUCCGAAUACCAUAUGUAAAUACUCAGGAGUCAGACUGCGGGAGCUAAGUUCCGUGGUCAAAAGGAAAACAGUCCAGAUCGUCAAUUAAGGUCCCAAAGAUAUAGCUAAGUGGAAAACGAUGUGAUUUUGCAUAAACAACCAGGAUGUUGGCUCAGAAGCAGCCAUUCAUUCAAAGAGUGCGUAAUAGCUCACUGGUCGAGUGAAGUUGCGCGGAAAAUUACCGGGGCUAAGCUAUACACCGAAAUUGCGGAUUUACAUUUGAAAGACAAUGUAAGUGGUAGAGGAGCAUUCUGUAGUAGGAAGAAGCAUGACCGUAAGGACAUGUGGACGAAGCAGAAGAGAGAAUGCUGGAAUAAGUAGCGAGAGGAUGGUGAGAAUCCAUCCCGUCGAAAAUCUAAGGUUUCCCAGGGAAGGUUCGUCCGCCUGGGGUAAGUCGGGACCUAAGGAGAGGCCGAAAGGCGUAUCUGAUGGAUAGCAGGUUGAAAUUCCUGCACUACGAAUAUACUUAAAAGAUUCAAGGGACGCAGAAGUGGAAGAUAACCAAGUAAGAGGAAAAGCUUGGCUCGCAAGAGGGAGUGAAAAUUAAAAGUAACGAAGUAUCAAGAAGCACGCUGACGAGAAAAGCUUGAAGAUAUUGUAUAUAAGUACCCGUACCGCAAACCGACACAGGUAGAUGAGGAGAGGAUCCUAAGACGAGCGGGAGAAGCAUUGUUAAGGAACUCGGCAAAUUAACCCCGUAACUUCGGAAUAAGGGGUGCUGAUGUAACAGUCAGUCGCAGAGAAAAGGCCCAAGCAACUGUUUAACAAAAACAUAGGUUUCUGCUAAAUCGAAAGAUGAAGUAUAGGAGCUGACGCCUGCCCAGUGCUGGAAGGUUAAGGGAAAGAGUUAGGGUUAAACCGAAGCUUAGAACUGAAGCCCCAGUGAACGGCGGCCGUAACUAUAACGGUCCUAAGGUAGCGAAAUUCCUUGUCAGGUAAGUUCUGACCCG